UACGAAGGGGGCUAGCGUUGUUCGGAAUUACUGGGCGUAAAGCGCACGUAGGCGGCUGUUCAAGUCAGAGGUGAAAGCCUGGAGCUCAACUCCAGAACUGCCUUUGAAACUAGACAGCUUGAAUCAUGGAGAGGCGGGUGGAAUUCCGAGUGUAGAGGUGAAGUUCGUAGAUAUUCGGAAGAACACCAGUGGCGAAGGCGGCUCACUGGACCGGCAUUGACGCUGAGGUGCGAAAGCGUGGGGAGCAAACAGG
rnacentral:rRNA from 1 species